CGGAGCGUGUGGUUUAAUUCGAUGCUACACGAAGAACCUUUACCAAGGUUUGACAUGUAAGUGGUAGUGAUCUGAAAAGUGAACGGACCCUUCGGGGAGCUUAUACAGGUGUUGCAUGGCUGUCGUCAGCUCGUGUCGUGAGAUGUUCGGUUAAGUCCGCUAACGAGCGCAACCCUCGCCGUAUGUUACAAGUGUCAUACGGGACUGCCGGUAAAAGCCGGAGGAAGGUGAGGAUGAUGUCAAGUCAGCAUGACCUUUAUAUCCAGGGCUACACACACGCUACAAUGGUCUGUACAAUUGGUUGCCAAGCCGCGAGGCGGAGCCAAUCCGUAAAGCAGGCCUCAGUUCAGAUUGCAGUCUGCAACUCGACUGCCAUGAAGCCGGAGUUGCUAGUAACCGCAGGUCAGCAAUACUGCGGUAGAAUACGUUCCGGUCUU
rnacentral:rRNA from 1 species